rnacentral:rRNA from 1 species
AAAUUGAAGAGUUUGAUCAUGGCUCAGAUUGAACGCUGGCGGCAGGCCUAACACAUGCAAGUCGAACGGUAGCACAGAGAGCUUGCUCUCGGGUGACGAGUGGCGGACGGGUGAGUAAUGUCUGGGAAACUGCCUGAUGGAGGGGGAUAACUACUGGAAACGGUGGCUAAUACCGCAUAACGUCGCAAGACCAAAGAGGGGGACCUUCGGGCCUCUUGCCAUCAGAUGUGCCCAGAUGGGAUUAGCUUGUUGGUGAGGUAACGGCUCACCAAGGCGACGAUCCCUAGCUGGUCUGAGAGGAUGACCAGCCACACUGGAACUGAGACACGGUCCAGACUCCUACGGGAGGCAGCAGUGGGGAAUAUUGCACAAUGGGCGCAAGCCUGAUGCAGCCAUGCCGCGUGUAUGAAGAAGGCCUUCGGGUUGUAAAGUACUUUCAGCGGGGAGGAAGGUGUUGUGGUUAAUAACCGCAGCAAUUGACGUUACCCGCAGAAGAAGCACCGGCUAACUCCGUGCCAGCAGCCGCGGUAAUACGGAGGGUGCAAGCGUUAAUCGGAAUUACUGGGCGUAAAGCGCACGCAGGCGGUCUGUCAAGUCGGAUGUGAAAUCCCCGGGCUCAACCUGGGAACUGCAUUC